GAGUUUGAUCAUGGCUCAGAUUGAACGCUGGCGGCAUGCCUUACACAUGCAAGUCGAACGGCAGCAUGAUCUAGCUUGCUAGAUUGAUGGCGAGUGGCGAACGGGUGAGUAAUACAUCGGAACGUGCCCUGUAGUGGGGGAUAACUAGUCGAAAGAUUAGCUAAUACCGCAUACGACCUGAGGGUGAAAGUGGGGGACCGCAAGGCCUCAUGCUAUAGGAGCGGCCGAUGUCUGAUUAGCUAGUUGGUGGGGUAAAGGCCCACCAAGGCGACGAUCAGUAGCUGGUCUGAGAGGACGAUCAGCCACACUGGGACUGAGACACGGCCCAGACUCCUACGGGAGGCAGCAGUGGGGGAUUUUGGACAAUGGGCGAAGGCCUGAUCCAGCAAUGCCGCGUGUGUGAGAAGG
rnacentral:rRNA from 1 species